GAUGAACGCUAGCGGUGUGCCUAAUACAUGCAAGUCGAGCGAACAGACGAGGAGCUUACUCCUCUGACGUUAGCGGCGGACGGGUGAGUAACACGUGGAUAACCUACCUAUAAGACUGGGAUAACUUCGGGAAACCGGAGCUAAUACCGGAUAACAUGUUGAACCGCAUGGUUCAACAGUGAAAGACGGUCUUGCUGUCACUUAUAGAUGGAUCCGCGUCGCAUUAGCUAGUUGGUAAGGUAACGGCUUACCAAGGCAACGAUGCGUAGCCGACCUGAGAGGGUGAUCGGCCACACUAGAACUGAGACACGGUCCAGACUCCUACGGGAGGCAGCAGUAGGGAAUCUUCCGCAAUGGGCGAAAGCCUGACGGAGCAACGCCGCGUGAGUGAAGAAGGUCUUCGGAUCGUAAAACUCUGUUAUUAGGGAAGAACAAAUGUGUAAGUAACUAUGCACGUCUUGACGGUACCUAAUCAGAAAGCCACGGCUAACUACGUG
rnacentral:rRNA from 1 species